UACGUAGGUGACAAGCGUUGUCCGGAUUUACUGGGCGUAAAGAGCGCGCAGGCGGUCGUUCAAGUCCCGUGUGAAAGCCCCCCGGCUCAACCGGGGGAACGGCGCGGGAAACUAGCAGGCUUGAGUUCGGGAGAGGGAAGCGGAAUUCCGGGUGUAGCGGUGAAAUGCGCAGAUAUCAGGAGGAACACCGGUGGCGAAGGCGGGUCUCUGGGCCGAUACUGACGCUGAGGAGCGAAAGCGCGGGGAGCGAACGGG
rnacentral:rRNA from 1 species